rnacentral:lncRNA from 1 species
UUUAAUGACUGGGGGUUGCCUGCAAUAAGUUGAGCCUGAAAUCUCAUUUUUCAGUUGGAUACCUACUCAUGUCAUGGAUCUGUAGUAUUCUUUUUGCUUACUCCAGCAGUAGGAAAUAAUAUAGGGACAGAACUCAAGAGAGAGAAAAUGAGCAAUAGGGCAAUGAGGCACACUCCCAUUGUCUGGUAGAAAAAAGAUGCAUGAGUCUUCCAUAUGUCAAGUAGAUACUACAAAGGUACCAGGCUUGAACUAUUGUGAAGCAAGUUCAUCCUAGACUGUGACUUACUAAGAGAAGAGACCCCAGCAGCAAAAGCCUGUAAGGUGAGUUAUGCAGGAAAUAAGGAGACUGGAAGAGGUCUACAGGAGUCGAUUUCCUAUGAAAGGAGGUUGUGCAAUGAAGAGACUGCCUGCUACAUGGAGGACAGAGGUCACAACAACAACUGGCUGGAGCAGUGGAAAGAGAACUAUGCACAAGGAUGAGGAGAAUAAUUGUGAUUGUGGGACAGGGCCCCAGGAGAGAGGUAUAGCAGACUGGCCUUGGAAAGCCUGCAGCUGCAUCAGGAAGGCAAAGCAUGCUUGGAAAAAAUGCUGACUGAAGUAAGGCAGAACCUAGAGGGUGGGUGGAUACUCCAUAACUGUAUUCAAAUUGGGCACUCUCUUGUUGUAAAGCCUUUGCGUAAGUGCAACUGAGAAAAUAUAUGGUAGAAAAAAAAGGCUAUGUUCUGACCAGCUCGAGGAUGGGGGAAUAUCAUGCAUAAUAUGUGCAAACUAUGUGAAGAAAAGUACAAGUUAAUAUGAUCACAAAAAUAUUCAGAAAAACACAGAGUGAAGGAGGUAAGACAAGAGGUAAUGAAAUAAUUAGUGAAGUAUGGGCUCCUGUGCAAGGGAAUAUCUUGAGACAGAUUUUUGAAGAGAAGUUAGAUGUGGGCUGAUGAAGAGGAACUGUCACUCCACAUUGAGGGAGUGGUCUCUGCAAAGGUGGUAGCUUAGCUUGGGUUCCUAAGAAAAGAGUCUGAGGUUAAUCUUAUGAGCACAUGCUUUAUUGUAGAGUACAAGUCCAGAGAAGCAAGUGUGACAAAAAAGGAAGGAUAGGAAACAAAAAGUCAUGUUAUUGAGCUCUGGUUAUAGGAAAUUUAAAUGGUUACUCAGUUACACUGAACAUCUCCAGAGAGAUUCAUGAAUUCACGGCACCUUAGAAAAAUUCUUUGGUGGAAAGAAGGGCAAACAAUCUAUCUACUGGCUUCUUUCCAUCUCCUGUUUCUCAUGCUUACUUGACCUAACAAAGUGUUAACUUGCACAUCUUCCCUCCAGACAGCUGCUGGGUUAGUAACUAACUCCAACUUAGUUACUGGAGCUGCUGCUGUUUCUGCUGUGAUGAGAGGUAUGGAGGCCAUGUCAAAGCCUGGCUUUUUCUCCCCAGGAUUUGCAGGGAAGGCUGCAAAAACCAGGGUGAGAGAUGCUGAGUCUUCUGAGUUUUAUGACCAUUGGAAUGGCAUGAGUCAAUCAACCAUUGCUGAGCUCCUCUGAUCAGGACUCUGGGCAAGCAACAGUCUGGGGCUGAGGGUAGAUGAGGCCCAGGAGGAUCUGAGGAAAUGUCCAAGAUAGGUCUGGAAGAGUGAGGAAAAUGGAUGAUGAAAACUUAGCAUGUCUAGAAGGAGUGAGGUCUCAACAAAUGUGUAACUUAGUGUAUGUAGUAUUGGAGUGACGUUCUAGGAAUGGCCAAAAGCUAGGAUUCCAUAGGCUGAUUUGAAUGAAUUUGAGAUGUGUGCCCAUUUUGUUGUGCUUAUUAUGGCUGAUCCUGUAGUUUUAGCAAUUCAGUGAUCAUCUCAACUUUCUUCCUAAACAGCUGAGCCUGGAAAGCUAAAACUAACACUUUUCAGACUUCAAUGAAAUUACUGUUCUGAAUAUGAUUCAGGUUCUACCAAAGAGAUGUAUUCAUGAGAACUGAAUUUAGAACUGAAGGAAGUGGGGAGAGAAGCAUGAGCUGUGAUGGUAGUAGCUGCUGGGUAAGUGGCCAGCAGCCACUAUGGUACUUCCUAUCAUGGCAGAGACAACUGGUCUCAGAGGUGCCCAGUUGUGUCUUGUGGCUUUGGACAUUUCUCCUGGAUGCUCAACCUAGAGACUGUUUAUCUCUCAAGUGAUUUGUAAACCUUUUAAUGCUCUGUGAAAAAAAAAUUUAAUCCCUUUUGCCUAAACCAGCUAGAGUGGAUUCUAUUCUGAGGAAAUGACCAUAUUUUAAAGGUUUGCUGGAGAAGUCUGGAUGGGGGGUGGAGAGAAAGAAAUAUAAAAAUAGAGAUAGAAAUAGCUAAAUGGAGGGUAGAGAUAUUAAUUCCGGCUCUUAGAUGGUGGGCAACUCACUACCCACAAUUAUUAAAUCUGAUUUUUCCUCUCAGCACACAUUCAUAUAGAUACCAUGUAUGAAGAAUACAGGAGAACCCUGAAGGUAUCCAAAUGAAAUUGACUUCCCAGUCAUCAUUAAACAUUUAAAGAACUUCAACAAAACAUGCUCCAUGUUAAGGACUUUAGCACCUAAAAAUAAGGAAAGAUGCAGCUUUUGAUUUUAAACAUUUAUUGUUUUCAAGGGAAAGCCUUCUGUAUCCCUGCACACUUUAAGCAGGUAAAUGUUAGAUUGCUGCAUCAGCUCCUGGACUCUGCAUAACUUCUGAUGUCCUUCUGGUAAACCUUGAUCCCUUAUUGCAUCAUGUGACCUCCUCUCCCCCAGCUCUAGCUCUGCCUAGCCGCAGUCCCUGGAAAGUAAUACAGUGGAGGAGGACCCCCAUGAUUACAUUCUGCGAGAGGAGUUCCUAAGCAUUGCAGCAUGAAAAACAGUGCUUAAAAGCUUAAGCAAUAUUUUUCAAAAUAUUGACCUAUCUCAGUAGGAACUGAGAUAGGCAACAAAUCUGACUGACAGAAUACAUUUCAAACUUUCAAAAUUGUGUCUUCCUCUUACUGUGGGUCCUUACCCCUGAACAAAGUUCAUCACACCUGGCUUCACGUUGCAGGGUAUAUUUUUUUGAUGCCUGCCUUAUCUGGCUUCCAGUCAUGCCCUGGAAUUUGAGUGUCUCUCAAAUGUAAAAAUCAAAAAGUAUAUUGUAAAAAUGUCUAUACUAUGCAAAGUAAUAUACAGAUUCAAUGCAAUUUCUAUCAAGAUUCCAAUGACAUUUUUCACAGAAAUAGAAAAAAAUCUAAAAUUUAUAUGAAAACAUCAAAGACAUCAAAUAGCCAAAACAAUCUUGAACAAAAAGAACAAAGCUGGAAGCAUUACACUAUUUGAUUUCAAAAUGUACUGCAAAGCUAUAGCAAUCAAAACAACAUGGUACUGGCACAAAAACAGAAAUAUGGACCAAUGAAAUUGAACAGAGAGCCCAGAAAUAAAUUCACCCAUUUACAGUUAACUGAUCUUCAACAAAAGUGCCAAGAUCAUACAACUGAGAAAGGACAGUCUCUUCAAUAAAUGGUGCUGGAAAAACUUGAUAUCCACAUGCAGAAGAAUGAAAUUGGACCCUUAUUUCAUCCCAUAUACAAAAAUCAACAUAAAAUGGAUUAAAGACUUAAAUGUAAGACCAGAAACUAUAAAACUAUUAGAAGAAAACCUAGAGACAUUGACAUUGGUCUUGGCAAAGAUUUUUUGGAUAUGACCCCAAAAGCACAGGCAGCAAAAGCAAAACUAGACAAAUGGAAUUACAUCAAACCAAAAAAAUAGCUUCACAGCAAAAGAAGCAAUCAACAGAGUGAAGAGAAAACCUAUGCAAUGGGAGAAAAUAUAUGUAAAUCAUACAUGAAAUAAGGAACUAAUAUCCAAAAUAUAUAAGAAAUUCAAACAUCUGAACAGCAAAAAAAAAAAAAAAAAGAAAAUUUAAAAAUGGGCAAAAGAUCUGAACAGACAUUUCUGCAAACAGAAUGUAUGAAAGGCCAACAGGUAUAUGAAGAGAUGCUCAACAUCACUAAUCAUUGGAGAAAUGCAAAUUAAAACCACAAUUAGAUAUCUAUCAUCUCACCUCUCUAAGAUAAGCAUUUGCAAAAAUGUGGAGAAAAGAGGACCCUUGCACGCAGUUGGUGGAAAUGUACAUUAGUAUAGCCUCAUGGAAAAUAGUAUGGAGGUUCCUCAAAAAAUUAAAAAUAGGACUACCAUAUGAUCCAGCAAUCUCACUUCUGAAUAUGUAUCCAAAGGAAAUGAAAUCAGUAUGGUAAAAAGAUAUCUGCAUUCCCAUAUUCAUUGCAACAUUACUUGCAAUAGCCAAGAUAGGGAAUCAACUGAUGAAUGAAUAAAGAAAAUGUGGUAUACAUAAUAUAAUGGAAUACCAUUUUGCCUUAAAAAGGAGGAAAUCGGGUCAUCUGCAACAAGCUAAGUGAAAAAAACCAGGCACAGAAGGACAAAUACUGUAUGAUCUCACUUACAUGUGGAAUUUAAAAAAGUUUAACUCAUAGAAGCAAAGGGUAGAAUAGUGGUUGCCAGGGACUGGGGCUAGGGGUGGGAGCAGGGAAUGGGGAGUUAUGGUCAAAGACUACAAAGUUUCAAAUAGACAGGAGGAAUAAGAUCUGGUGAACUAUAGUACAGCAUGUGACUAUAGUUAAUAAUAUUGUAUUGUACACUUGAAAGUUGCUAAGAGAGUAGAUUUAAAUGUUCUCAUCACCAAAAAUGAUAAAUAUAUGCAGAAGUGACAGAUAUAUUAAUUUGAUUUAAUUGUUCCACUGUGUAUACAUAUAUCAAAACAUCAUGUUAUACACCAUACAUAUAUACAAUUUUUCACCUUGCCAAUUAGAAAUAAAAAUUAUUCAUAUAAAAUAAAAAUAAAAAUAAAAAAUAAAAUUCAAAUUCAUAACCCAAAUUUCCCUAGACCUCUGCUUCCUCUGCAUAUAACAUGUUUGAGUCUCGCCUAAACUCAAAUUGGACCUCCACAGUCUUAGCAAAACUCUUUUAGAAAGUGCAAUAAUAUUUCUUAAUAAUCUGUCCCAGGUUAUCACUUUCCAUAAGAAUAUCCUUUUUUGAGUUCUCCUUGAAACCAUAGUUCAAAACAAAUGUGUUUGUUCUUGCAUUAUUUUUGGUAGAGAGAAGAACUAUGUGAUAAGAUAAACCUUAAGAUAAAUCCAUGUCUAUUGGGGAUAAAAGUUUUCAGUUAUUCUGCUCUUCACAAACUAACCCUAGUUCCUCUAAUCUUAAAGGUUUUAGCUUUCAACUUUUAGUUAUUUGAAUUUUGGGGGAAAGAUCUCACAUCAAUUUCUCCAUGUUAAGAUUUAAAUAACCAAACUGGAAGUUAAGUUUUUUUUUCUUUUUUGACAGAGUCUAGCUCUGUCGCCCAGGCUGGAGUGCAGUGGUGCGAUCUGGGCUCACUGCCAGCUCCGCCUCCCGGGUUCACGCCAUUCUCCUGCCUCAGCCUCCCCAGUAGCUGGGACUACAGGCGCCCACCACCACGUCCGGCUAAUUUUUUGUAUUUUUAGUAGAGACGGGGUUUCACCGUGUUAGCCAGGAUGGUCUCGAUCUCCCGACCUCAUAAUCCGCCUGCCUCGGCCUCCCAAAGUGCUGGGAUUACAAGCGUGAGCCACCGCGCCGUGCCUGGAAAUGAAUUUUUUACACACCAAGUGAAAAUAAGUGGUAUACAUUUUCACAGGAAAUUUUCCCACAAUAAAAUUUCUAGAUGGAAGUUCAAGUCCUUGUGCCUGAGCUCCUUAGAUUAAAAAGCAUAGCAGUUAUUUAACACUCUUUUAAAAAAGAAAGUAUGAAGACAUGGUGAAACUAUUUUGCUUAUCACAUUGACAUUCCUUUGAGAAGAAAGAAAGAAAAUGACAUGUGGUUGGGAAUUCUUCAGUUUAGCCCUAUAGAGAUUUUUAAAAAUGUUUUAACUUUCAAAGGCGCUUUUAUAGAGCUAUAAAAUUGCCUGUCUCCUCUCCAGGCUAUGCUGUACACAAAUGCAAUUCUAAUUUUUAUCGAAUGCUACUUUGAUCAUUCAGCUGCUUGAUCAAAAUCAAUAAUGACUUAUGGUGUUUCAGAUCAUGUCUAUACUUUUCAAGACCCUUAAUAAUCUGCCUCCAUCCUACCUAUCCUACAUUCUAUUUCACAUUUCCCUAUAAUAAUCUUUGUUAUUACCUUACUGCCUUUCUCUGUCCCUGUCAACUGCAACACAUAAGGGUUUGUAUAUAAAACAUGCACACACACACACACACAUACACACACACACACACAUUUCAUGCAUAUUCUGGCCUUGGGACUUUUACUUAUGCGUUUUUCCUUUUCUGAUGUCUACGUAUGUAUAGUUUUUCUCUUAGCAACAUCUAAACUUCUUUAAAAGUCACCACAAAUUCUACUUUCUUCCAAGAAGCUCCCCGAUGACCGUAACCUACAUUAUCCAUCCACUUUUUUUUUUUUUUUUUUGGUAGGGUCUUGCUCUGUUUCCCAGGCUAGAGUGCAGUGGUAUGAUCACAGCUCACUGCAGCCUUGGCCUCCUGGGCUCAAGCAAUCCUCCCACUUCAGCCUCCCAAGUAGCUGGAACCACAGGCUCAUGCCAACAUGCCCAGCUAAUUUUUAUUUAUUUAUUUUUUCAUUUAUUUUGUAGAGAUAAGAUCUUGCUGUGUUGCCCAGGCUGGUCUCAAGACUCCUGGCUCAAAUGAUCCUCCCACUUCGGCCUCCCAAAGUGCUGGGAUUAAAGGCAUGAGCCACCACUCCUAGGCCACUUUCUUAUUCCUGUUACUUAUUUAGGGUGACACUGUCCAAGACUUGCCUAAAUACCAUUUUAUAGUGUUUCUUUUUUAAUGAACAUAUAAACUGUGUUGUGAUCUUUUGUUUGUUUGUUUGUUUGUUUUUAUUAUUAUUAUUAUACUUUAAGUUUUAGGGUACAUGUGCACAAUGUGCAGGUUAGUUACAUAUGUAUACAUGUGCCAUGCUGGUGUGCUGCACCCAUUAACUCGUCAUUUAGCAUUAGGUAUAUCUCCUAAUGCUAACUCUCCCCCCUCCCCCCACCCCACAACAGGCCCCAGAGUGUGAUGUUCCCCUUCCUGUGUCCAUGUGUUCUCAUUGUUCAGUUCCCAUCUAUGAGUGAGAACAUGCGGUGUUUGGUUUUUUGUCCUUGCAAUAGUUUACUGAGAAUGAUGAUUUCCAGUUUCAUUCAUG